UCGGACAUGGUGUAAGGUACACACUCUCGUUUCUUAGUGGGGUGACGCGAUGCAAGAGGGAAUCUGGGGUUCGACUCCCCGUGUCCGAA